GACGAACGCUGGCGGCGUGCCUAAUACAUGCAAGUAGAACGCUGAAGGAGGAGCUUGCUUCUCUGGAUGAGUUGCGAACGGGUGAGUAACGCGUAGGUAACCUGCCUGGUAGCGGGGGAUAACUAUUGGAAACGAUAGCUAAUACCGCAUAAUAGCAGUUGUUGCAUGACAACUGUUUGAAAGGUGCAAAUGCAUCACUACCAGAUGGACCUGCGUUGUAUUAGCUAGUUGGUGGGGUAAAGGCUCACCAAGGCGACGAUACAUAGCCGACCUGAGAGGGGGAGCGGCCAGACUGGGACGGAGACACGGCCCAGACUCCUACGGGAGGCAGCAGGAGGGAAUCUUCGGCAAUGGACGGAAGUCUGACCGAGCAACGCCGAGUGAGUGAAGAAGGUUUUCGGAUCGUAAAGCUCGGUUGUAAGAGAAGAACGAGUGUGAGAGUGGAAAGUUCACACUGUGACGGUAUCUGACCAGAAAGGGACGGCUAACUACGUG
rnacentral:rRNA from 1 species